AUUGAACGCUGGCGGCAUGCUUUACACAUGCAAGUCGGACGAGUGGCGGACGGGUGAGUAACGCAUCGGAACGUACCCAGUAGUGGGGGAUAACUGUCCGACAGAACAGCUAAUACCGCAUAUUAUUCGAGCGGCCGAUGUCUGAUUAGCUGGUUGGCGGGGUAAAGGCCCACCAAGGCGACGAUCCGUAGCGGGUCUGAGAGGACGAUCCGCCACACUGGGACUGAGACACGGCCCAGACUCCUACGGGAGGCAGCAGUGGGGAAUUUUGGACAAUGGGAGAAAGCCUGAUCCAGCCAUGCCGCGUGUAUGAAGAAGGCCUUCGGGUUGUAAAGUACUUUGGGCAGGGAAGCGGUACCUGAAGAAUAAGCACCGGCUAACUACGUGCCAGCAGCCGCGGUAAUAC
rnacentral:rRNA from 1 species